RKKCGCCCUUAGAGUUUGAUCCUGGCUCAGAACGAACGCUGGCGGCGUGCUUAACACAUGCAAGUCGAACGUGAUCCGGAGCUUGCUCCGGUGAAAGUGGCGCACGGGUGAGUAUCGCGUGGAUAACCUGCCCUGGUAUCUGGGAUAACAUCUCGAAAGGGGUGCUAAUACCGGAUAAGCCCACGGACUCCUCGGAGUCUGCGGGAAAAGGUGGCCUCUAUUUAUAAGCUACCGUAUCAGGAUGAGUCCGCGUACCAUUAGCUAGUUGGUGGGGUAAUGGCCCACCAAGGCUACGAUGGUUAGCUGGUCUGAGAGGAUGAUCAGCCACACUGGAACUGAGACACGGUCCAGACUCCUACGGGAGGCAGCAGUGGGGAAUUUUGCGCAAUGGGGGAAACCCUGACGCAGCAACGCCGCGUGAGUGAUGAAGGCUUUCGGGUCGUAAAGCUCUGUCAGAGGGGAAGAAAUGAAACGUGCUAAUAUCACGUUUUCUUGACGGUACCCUCAAAGGAAGCACCGGCUAACUCCGUGCCAGCAGCCGCGGUAAUAC
rnacentral:rRNA from 1 species